CCAUGGAAGAAAGAGCCACCGAUGUGGGCAAUCUCUGCGCAAUAGAUGAUGCAUCCGAUGUGGCGGCAUAGGAAGCGGAGGAGGGCAAUCGUGAAGCGAUGAAGGGCUCCCCGACCUCGAUGAGUGGUGGUGGACAGACGAAGGUAGGAUCGGGGAAGACCAGAAGACAGCGGAUGGAAAGGCGGCGGUGGACGGACGAGGGCUAGGGCGAAAGCAGCGAUGGAGGAAAAGUAGAAGAUAGGAGGAAGAAAGAAAUUUUUAAUGGCAAUCGAUUGAAUGAAGAGAUUGAAGAGGGAGAAGGAAGAUGAUGAGGGCUCUCCCCACAUCGACGAUGGGGGAAGAUGAAGAUGGUGAUGGCUGACGGACAGACAUGGACCACGAUCCACGGCUAGGGGUUAGGGCAUUGAAUGAAUGGGAA
rnacentral:lncRNA from 1 species